AGAGUUUGAUCCUGGCUCAGAGUGAACGCUAGCGGCGUGGAUUAGGCAUGCAAGUCGAGCGCGAAAGUUCCCUUCGGGGAGCGAGUAGAGCGGCAAAAGGGUGAGUAAUACAUGGCUAACUUGCCCCUGGAUCUGGAAUAACCACGGGAAACUGUGGCUAAUGCCGGAUGGUCUCAAGGAGUCUCAUGGCUCCUUGAGUAAAGGUUGGGAUCCUUCGGGACCUUCCGUCCAGGGAGAGGGUCAUGGGCUAUCAGCUUGUUGGCGGGGUAACGGCCCACCAAGGCUACGACGGCUAGGCGGUCUGAGAGGAUGGCCGCCCACAUCGGGACUGAGACACUGCCCGGACUCCUACGGGAGGCUGCAGUCGAGAAUCAUCCGCAAUGGGCGAAAGCCUGACGGUGCGACGCCGCGUGAGGGACGAAGGCCUUAGGGUUGUAAACCUCUUUCGCCUGUUAAGAAGGCGCAUGCGUUAAUAGCGUAUGUGUUGACAAAGGCAGGUAAAGAAGCACCGGCUAACUCCGUGCCAGCAGCCGCGGUAAGACGGAAGGUGCAAGCGUUACUCGGAAUCAUUGGGCGUAAAGGUCCGUAGGCGGAUCGGCAGUGGNUGUGAAUCCUCGGCUUAACCGANGAAUUCGUU
rnacentral:rRNA from 1 species